AAAGGGGCAAAGAAAAUACAACAGUACCGUCCCAUUUGUCUGCUAAGAUGUCCCUAUAAACUUAUCACCAAAGUCCUGGAUAACCGAGUGGCGAUCUUUGUUGAUAAGUUGAUUAGUAAACACCAGAAUGCUUUCAUUAAGCACAGGAAUAUCAUGGAUGGUAUUCUUACGUUGCAUGAAGUUUUGCACCAUACACACCAGAAAAAAAGAGUUGGCGUGGUACUGAAGUUAGACUUUGAAAAAGCUUAUGACAAAAUCGAUUGGGAAUUCCUUCUAGAGUGUCAUCGAGAUCGAGGCUUUGGUACAACUUGGUGUGGCUGGAUCAAAAAAAUUAUAUAUAAUGGCACUGUCAGUGUCAAACUGAACAAUGAAAAAGGCCCCUACUUUCAAAGCCACAAGGGGGUACGCCAAGGCGACCCCCACUCUCCUUUUCUCUUUAACCUGGCC
rnacentral:rRNA from 1 species